rnacentral:misc_RNA from 1 species
GAAAUGCGAUAAGUAAUGUGAAUUGCAGAAUUCAGUGAAUCAUCGAAUCUUUGAACGCACAUUGCGCCCUCCAGUAUUCUGGCGGGCAUGCCUGUUCGAGCGUCAUUUCAACCAUCAAGCCCCCGGCUUGUGUUGGGGACCUGCGGCUGCCCGCAGGCCCUGAAAAACAGUGGCGGGCUCGCUGUCACACCGAGCGUAGUAGCAUACAUUCUCGCUCAGGGCGUGCUGCGGGUUCCGGCCGUUAAACGACCUUCAUAACCCAAGGUUGACCUCGGAUCAGGUAGGAAGACCCGCUGAACUUAAGC